GCGCUUGUAGCUCAGUGGAUAGAAUGUUUGUUUCCUAAGCAGAAAGUCAUAGGUUCAACCCUUAUUUGGCGUG
rfam:Ipomoea nil DNA, scaffold: scaffold2610, cultivar: Tokyo-kokei standard.